rnacentral:lncRNA from 1 species
CAUAUCUUGAUUGGUCCUUCUGCUUCUGCAGGUGUGACAACUCUAUCUGUUCUUCAAGACCCAGCUAACGAUAUUCAGCCAGAUUAUUACACGAACAAGGUGUCCGACUUUCUCGAUCUAUUAGGAGCGUGACCCUAUCAGGCGUGAUAUUCUUUCUGGCAUGUCAGACUUUCUUUGCCUGAUUAUUUAAGUCCAUCAUUUCUCCCUUUGGCAAUAGGGAAACACAGAAUACUGGCAUGAACAGCUUUCAGCUGUGUUUCUUUUUCCUUUUCUUCAAUAACCAAGUCCGGAAACAAAUUCGGUGAACUGAGAUAAACUGACAAUCACAUGAAAAAUACACCACAAAGCCUAAUUUGUAAGGCGAAUGGCUUCAAUUCGUUCCCCUGAAUUUAUUAAAAAUGUCCAUGCUUUUUGUUGACUGUGUAUAUAUGGAAAGGGGUUCUUUGCAGGAAGGCGUAUGUUAGACCCAAGCUAGCAGAGCUUGUUCAGUUGAAGUUACAUCAUGAGUUUUGCCAGGUGAGAUUGGAUGUCCUUUAGAAAUAGGAAAGAUGAAUUCAUGUCAGAGGAGCUAGUUAGAUCAUUCAUUAUGCAUAUUACAACAGAACAUGUUUCCUGAGAACUUACCAUAGCUGCU